GUAAACAUGCGUGGGGUGUCCAACCUCACCCAGGUUCUGGACAACUGGAGGUUUGACAUCCUCACUGAGAUGAAGACACUGCUCCAGAACGACCACCAGUCACUACUGCCAGACUACGCCAGGAUCCAGCCCCUGUCUGAGGCUCUGAAUGACCUUUACAAGGAGUUCAACUUCUCAAGGCUCACCUUGGUGAUCUCACAGAAAAAUUCGCCGCCAUAGAAACCUUCAUCGACGAGGUCAAGACUGAGCGGGCCAAUGGUGGCACCUUGGCCCCCGCCUCCAACCCAAACCCCGCCUCCAACCCAGUGCCAGCUAGGAGGAGAGUGGUCAAAAGAAAGCUCCCGCCUCUUAAAUGACCAAAACUCCACCCCAUCCCAUUGACCCCACCCAACUCAUCCUACUCACCCCAACCUACUAUGCUCUACCCUACCCUACCCCAUCCCAUCCCACUGACCCCAUCCCACUGACCCCAUCCCAUCUCACUGACCCCAUCCUACUGACCCCAUCCCAUCCCGCUGACCCCAUCCCACUGACCCUAUCCCUCUGACCCCAUCCCACUGACCCCAUCCCAUCCCACUGACCCCAUCCCAC